AAGUUAGACAUAAUUAGGGUGACUUCAAGUGACAGGUGGGUGUUCUCACAGGUGGCUAGCCACAGCAGACAGCAGUCAUUUGGCCCACCUGAACUCCACCUCUUUGCCCAUUUUUGGAUUUGCCAGAGUCAGGCACUGCCACGGACGGAGCCCCCAGGAGCCGCCCACGGUAUGCAUGAGGCCUUUCACUGAACGCGUCUUGCGACAUGUGCAGGGAGGAAACAGCUGUGGUUUGGUUGCUGCAGAAACCAGGUGAGAGCGUGUGCCCUGGCGAUGACAUCACACAUUCCAUGACGUCGAUGUGGCAGAGAGGCGUGAGGGGGCGAGCUCAGAUGCCACGGUUUUGUGUUAAAAUCGAUCGUCUCCAAGCCACAAAGGACCUGUGAGGGAAAACAUAUAAAGGAAAACCCUGCUGUUCCUAAUAUUGUCUGUUUGCUCCUUACUGCCUGACAACAUCACACAUACAAAAUAAUCCUGCAUCUGCUUGUUCGAGUGCUUUCACAAUUAUAUUUAGUGGAAUACAAAAAUUCA